rnacentral:lncRNA from 1 species
UCUCACUAAGAGUGCCAGAAGCAGAAGGUGGUCAUCCCCACUCACGCAGUCAGGAGUUAGCUACAACAAUGAUGAAGACUACCAUGCUUUAAAACAAGUUUUGAAACCAUAUAGUUAGAAAGACAAAGACAUCAACCAUCGCCAUUUCUAGCACAGUUCUCCUCCUGACAUAGAGAAAAUUGUCCGAAGUAGAAAGUCUAUCUUCCUGACCUAUAACAUGAUUAUGUGUCGGAUUUCAUUCAGAAUACCACAUAAUGCUGCCUGUCUCCUUCAGCUACUCUUGGCUGUGACAGUUUCUCAGAGUUUAUUUUGAUGUCACUGAUUGUUUU